rnacentral:rRNA from 1 species
UACAGAGGUGGCAAGCGUUGUUCGGAAUUACUGGGUGUAAAGGGUUCGUAGGCGGUGUAGCAAGUCGGGAGUGAAAUCUCUGGGCUCAACCCAGAGACUGCUUCCGAAACUGCUGUGCUUGAGUGUGGGAGAGGCGCGUGGAAUUGCAGGUGUAGCGGUGAAAUGCGUAGAUAUCUGCAGGAACACCAGAGGCGAAGGCGGCUCACUGGAUCGCAACUGACGCUGAGAGACGAAAGCUAGGGGAGCAAACAGG